rnacentral:rRNA from 1 species
CCUUGUACAGGGGGAUAACAGUUGGAAACGGCUGCUAAUACCGCAUAAGCGCACAGCAUCGCAUGAUGCAGUGUGAAAAACUCCGGUGGUAUAAGAUGGACCCGCGUUGGAUUAGCUAGUUGGUGAGGUAACGGCCCACCAAGGCGACGAUCCAUAGCCGACCUGAGAGGGUGACCGGCCACAUUGGGACUGAGACACGGCCCAAACUCCUACGGGAGGCAGCAGUGGGGAAUAUUGCACAAUGGGCGAAAGCCUGAUGCAGCGACGCCGCGUGAGCGAAGAAGUAUUUCGGUAUGUAAAGCUCUAUCAGCAGGGAAGAUAAUGACGGUACCUGACUAAGAAGCACCGGCUAAAUACGUGCCAGCAGCCGCGGUAAUACGUAUGGUGCAAGCGUUAUCCGGAUUUACUGGGUGUAAAGGGAGCGCAGGCGGUGCGGCAAGUCUGAUGUGAAAGCCCGGGGCUCAACCCCGGUACUGCAUUGGAAACUGUCGUACUAGAGUGUCGGAGGGGUAAGCGGAAUUCCUAGUGUAGCGGUGAAAUGCGUAGAUAUUAGGAGGAACACCAGUGGCGAAGGCGGCUUACUGGACGAUAACUGACGCUGAGGCUCGAAAGCGUGGGGAGCAAACAGGAUUAGAUACCCUGGUAGUCCACGCCGUAAACGA